rnacentral:rRNA from 1 species
AUUAUACAGCGAAACUGCGAAUGGCUCAUUAAAUCAGUUAUCGUUUAUUUGAUAGUACCUUACUACUUGGAUAACCGUGGUAAUUCUAGAGCUAAUACAUGCUAAAAACCCCGACUCACGAAGGGGUGUAUUUAUUAGAUUAAAAACCAAUGCCCUUCGGGGCUCUUUGGUGAUUCAUAAUAACUUUUCGAAUCGCAUGGCCUUGCGCCGGCGAUGGUUCAUUCAAAUUUCUGCCCUAUCAACUUUCGAUGGCAGGGUCUUGGCCUGCCAUGGUUACAACGGGUAACGGAGGGUUAGGGCUCGACCCCGGAGAAGGAGCCUGAGAAACGGCUACUACAUCCAAGGAAGGCAGCAGGCGCGCAAAUUACCCAAUCCCGAUUCGGGGAGGUAGUGACAAUAAAUACUGAUACAGGGCUCUUUUGGGUCUUGUAAUUGGAAUGAGUACAAUUUAAAUCCCUUAACGAGGAACAAUUGGAGGGCAAGUCUGGUGCCAGCAGCCGCGGUAAUUCCAGCUCCAAUAGCGUAUAUUAAAGUUGUUGCAGUUAAAAAGCUCGUAGUUGAACCUUGGGCCUGGCUGGCCGGUCCGCCUCACCGCGUGCACUGGUUCGGCCGGGCCUUUCCCUCUGGGGAACCCCAUGGUCUUCACUGAUCGUGGCGGGGAACCAGGACUUUUACUGUGAAAAAAUUAGAGUGUUCAAAGCAGGCCUAUGCUCGAAUACAUUAGCAUGGAAUAAUAAAAUAGGACGUGUGGUUCUAUUUUGUUGGUUUCUAGGACCGCCGUAAUGAUUAAUAGGGACAGUCGGGGGCAUCAGUAUUCAAUUGUCAGAGGUGAAAUUCUUGGAUUUAUUGAAGACUAACUACUGCGAAAGCAUUUGCCAAGGAUGUUUUCAUUAAUCAGGAACGAAAGUUAGGGGAUCGAAGACGAUCAGAUACCGUCGUAGUCUUAACCAUAAACUAUGCCGACUAGGGAUCGGACGGUGUUAUUUUUUGACCCGUUCGGCACCUUACGAGAAAUCAAAGUC